UACGAAGGGUGCAAGCGUUAAUCGGAAUUACUGGGCGUAAAGCGCGCGUAGGUGGUUCGUUAAGUUAGGAGUGAAAGCCCCGGGCUCAACCUGGGAAUUGCUUCUAAAACUGGCGGGCUAGAGUAUGGUAGAGGGUGGUGGAAUUUCCUGUGUAGCGGUGAAAUGCGUAGAUAUAGGAAGGAACAUCAGUGGCGAAGGCGACCACCUGGACUGAUACUGACACUGAGGUGCGAAAGCGUGGGGAGCAAACAGGAUUAGAUACCCCGGUAGUCCCUGAG
rnacentral:rRNA from 1 species